ensembl:piRNA 21ur-1146 ncRNA
UGGUUGGAUUGUCGCAGUCGG